rnacentral:rRNA from 1 species
UUUAGAGGAAGUAAAAGUCGUAACAAGGUCUCCGUUGGUGAACCAGCGGAGGGAUCAUUACCGAGUUUACAAACUCCCAAACCCUUUGUGAACCUUACCUAUCGUUGCUUCGGCGGGACCGCCCCGGCGCCUUCGGGCAACGGAACCAGGCGCCCGCCGGAGGCCCCAAACUCUUAUGUCUUUAGUGGUUUUCUCCUCUGAGUGACACAUAAACAAAUAAAUAAAAACUUUCAACAACGGAUCUCUUGGUUCUGGCAUCGAUGAAGAACGCAGCGAAAUGCGAUAAGUAAUGUGAAUUGCAGAAUUCAGUGAAUCAUCGAAUCUUUGAACGCACAUUGCGCCCGCCAGUAUUCUGGCGGGCAUGCCUGUUCGAGCGUCAUUUCAACCCUCAGGCCCCCAGUGCCUGGCGUUGGGGAUCGGCGCGGGCCCGGCAUCCCUCCGGGGGUGCCGGCGCCUGCCGGCCCCGAAAUCUAGUGGCGGUCUCGCUGUAGUCCCCCUCUGCGUAGUAGCACAACUCGCAUUGGAGCUCGGCGGUGGCCAUGCCGUAAAACACCCCACUUCUGAAAGUUGACCUCGGAUCAGGUAGGAAUACCCGCUGAACUUAAGCAUAUCAAUAAG